ensembl:snRNA U6 U6 spliceosomal RNA
GUGCUCGCUUCAGCAGCACAUAUACUAAAACUGGAACGAUACAGAGAAGAUUAGCACGGCCCUGGACAAGGACGACACGCAAAUCUGCGAAGCCUUGCAUGUUUUU